UACCUAUGAAGCCAAUAUCUGUAGAAACAAAGGGAAAGAAGCAAGAAUGGGAAGAGAAAGGAGUCAAAUGCAGAUUCAGGCCCAGUGACAGUCAAGGGCCAGCACCCUGGGAGCUCUGGAGCUACAAGGACCCUUCAGAACCAUCCCAAGUUGAGCACAAUCUGCUGCUACGUGGGCAGCCUGUCUUGAGAAGCUCAAUUCCAAACAUCGUAAGUAACUCGUUCACAAGACUCUAUUCCUUGAUCACUUCAAACAAGGUAUUAUUUGUAACCCACAACUCCAUCCCUUCCCAACUUGAGUGGAUGGGGCAACAAUCACGACAGACUCUGCUAAGUUUCCACAAAUCAUUGGUUUAUUAGAAAGUUCCUUUCCCUAAUUUUACAGCAUAUAUAUCUCUAUCAUAUGUGAUAAAGUUAAAUACAAUCUGUAAUGUUUGUAA